AUUGAACGCUGGCGGCAUGCUUUACACAUGCAAGUCGAACGGCAGCGCGGGCUUCUGCCUGGCGGCGAGUGGCGAACGGGUGAGUAAUGCAUCGGAACGUGCCCAGUAGUGGGGGAUAGCCCGGCGAAAGCCGGAUUAAUACCGCAUACGACCUGAGGGUGAAAGCGGGGGACCGAAAGGCCUCGCGCUAUUUGAUCGGCCGAUGUCGGAUUAGCUAGUUGGUGGGGUAAAGGCUUACCAAGGCGACGAUCCGUAGCUGGUCUGAGAGGACGACCAGCCACACUGGGACUGAGACACGGCCCAGACUCCUACGGGAGGCAGCAGUGGGGAAUUUUGGACAAUGGGGGCAACCCUGAUCCAGCCAUGCCGCGUGCGGGAAGAAGGCCUUCGGGUUGUAAACCGCUUUUGUUCGGGAAGAAAUCCUCUGGGCUAAUACCCCGGGGGGAUGACGGUACCGGAAGAAUAAGCACCGGCUAACUACGUG
rnacentral:rRNA from 1 species